CAUGCGUGGCGAGCUCGUGCGUUUGACGGGGGACGCGUCCAGUGAGAACAUCACACUUGAGGCGGUGGGUGAGAUAAGAGUGAGAAAAUCCAGAGUGCCGUCCAACCGAGCCACCACUACCUGCGGACUUAAACACAGAUCUGACGACCGGAGCUCAGGCUCCAAAGCUAAGAGAUGACAUAGAAUGUAAGUACAGAUGAAGCAUUAGCAGAAAAGCGUCAAUUGAAGGCCUACCUCUACUGAGCCAUCACUGCACCCGGUAGCCAAAAUAUCACCACGGCAGUCCAGGCACCAAACAGAAGACGACGGUCCACAGGGUGGUGGUAUCUUGCUUUCAUCAACACCAUCUGUCUCCUCCUCCUUACAUGAGCCCUCUGACACAGAACUUUCCUCAUCACUAGACCAAGGCCAAGGACUAAUCCCUGGGGAACCCCUAUCUUGACAAUAUGGACUAAAGUCAAAACCCGAGGCAGCACUUGUGCUGGAGCCAAAGGAGCCGCUGUAGUUCCGCUUGAUGUCUGUGCUUUUGUGAGCACCGGAUACUGGAAUUCCCACAGGGUCCCCAAUAGGAUCACUAGGGUCUGGUUGCAUCUCUGGAUUUUCCUGUGUAUCAGCGUCUUGAGUCACCAGACUUUCAAAAUAACGGGCUGUUGUGAAAUGUUCGUCCCAGCCAAAAGGUCUCUUUGCCCCCCUUGAGCUAGGGCGCCGCCUUCGUCUGGGUCUGAUGGGGUUUCUCCUGGAUGAUAGGAUAAGACACAAUCAGUCAACGUAGUCUCGAAUUCAGUACAGCUACUUAUAAAUAUCCAGCUAGUUAUAAAUAUCAUAAAGAUCAAGACGAUGAUAAAAGAUAUAGACUUAAAAUCAAACUAGAACUGACUUUUGCAUUCCCUAGAUACUAUUUUUGGUUAUUAUUAGAUGUCGAAGUUCUGCCAGCUCUCUCUUGAGGGUUUUGCUGCACUAAACCUAAGAUGUUGGGAUUACAUUGUUGGCUUCAUCGUGUUCUGUUACAACUGUUCACCCAUAUUUGGAUUAGUAUAUAACGCAUGGUGGUAGGAAAAACUUUAGAAGUUGAGAGCCAAUGGUUUACAAGAACCCCCCCAACCGCUUUCUAAUAAAAAAAACUAUGACCAAAAA